UUCUCUUCUAUGAUGUUCGGCUAAGAUCAACUGUAGUGUACGAUUUUAUCAGUUUUAUAUCUAAUACGUCUUCUAUCUGGAGACCAUUAAAUAGAUAGAACAGGGAGAUGGAAUAGGGGCUUGAAAAGUUACAAACACAUCCUCAAUGAUCAGGGCCAAUAUCCACAUAGCAUCUCAGAAUAGCAGUUCUGGUCUAUGAUCUGCACCCU
rnacentral:snRNA from 1 species